rnacentral:rRNA from 1 species
CAGGCCUAACACAUGCAAGUCGAACGAUGGUCUUCGGAUCAUAGUGGCGCACGGGUGCGUAACGCGUGGGAAUCUGCCCCUUGGUUCGGGAUAACUUCUGGAAACGGAAGCUAAUACCGGAUGAUGACGAAAGUCCAAAGAUUUAUCGCCAUGGGAUGAGCCCGCGUCGGAUUAGCUAGUUGGUGGGGUAAAGGCCUACCAAGGCGACGAUCCGUAGCUGGUCUGAGAGGAUGAUCAGCCACACUGGGACUGAGACACGGCCCAGACUCCUACGGGAGGCAGCAGUAAGGAAUAUUGGUCAAUGGGCGCAAGCCUGAACCAGCCAUGCCGCGUGCAGGAAGACGGCCCUACGGGUUGUAAACUGCUUUUGCGCCGGAAUAAACCCCCUUUCGUGAAAGGGGCUGAAUGUACGGCGAGAAUAAGGAUCGGCUAACUCCGUGCCAGCAGCCGCGGUAAU